rnacentral:rRNA from 1 species
AGAAUCAACGCUGGCGGCGUGCCUAACACAUGCAAGUCGAACGAGAAAGUGGGAGCAAUCCCACGAGUAAAGUGGCGCACGGGUGAGUAACACGUGACUAACCUACCCUUGAGUGGGGGAUAACCUAGGGAAACCUGGGCUAAUACCGCAUAAUACCUACGGGUCAAAGCAGCAAUGCGCUGGAAGAGGGGGUCGCGGCCGAUUAGCUAGUUGGCGGGGUAAUGGCCCACCAAGGCAGUGAUCGGUAUCCGGCCUGAGAGGGCGCACGGACACACUGGAACUGAAACACGGUCCAGACUCCUACGGGAGGCAGCAGUGGGGAAUUUUGCGCAAUGGGGGAAACCCUGACGCAGCAACGCCGCGUGGAGGAUGAAGACCCUUGGGUCGUAAACUCCUUUCGAUCGGGACGAUAAUGACGGUACCGGAAGAGAAGCCCCGGCUAACUUCGCGCCAGCAGCCGC